GACGAACGCUGGCGGCGUGCCUAAUACAUGCAAGUAGAACGCUGAAGGAGGAGCUUGCUCUUCUGGAUGAGUUGCGAACGGGUGAGUAACGCGUAGGUAACCUGCCUGGUAGCGGGGGAUAACUAUUGGAAACGAUAGCUAAUACCGCAUAAGAGUAGAUGUUGCAUGACAUUUACUUAAAAGGUGCAAUUGCAUCACUACCAGAUGGACCUGCGUUGUAUUAGCUAGUUGGUGGGGUAACGGCUUACCAAGGCGACGAUACAUAGCCGACCUGAGAGGGUGAUCGGCCACACUGGGACUGAGACACGGCCCAGACUCCUACGGGAGGCAGCAGUAGGGAAUCUUCGGCAAUGGACGGAAGUCUGACCGAGCAACGCCGCGUGAGUGAAGAAGGUUUUCGGAUCGUAAAGCUCUGUUGUAAGAGAAGAACGAGUGUGAGAGUGGAAAGUUCACACUGUGACGGUAUCUUACCAGAAAGGGGCGGCUAACUACGUG
rnacentral:rRNA from 1 species